CAGCUAGUUGGUGAGGUAACGGCUCACCAAGGCGAUGAUGGCUAGCUGGUCUGAGAGGAUGGCCAGCCACACUGGGACUGAAACACGGCCCAGACUCCUACGGGAGGCAGCAGUAGGGAAUAUUGCGCAAUGGGCGAAAGCCUGACGCAGCGACGCCGCGUGGGUGAUGAAGGCCUUCGGGUCGUAAAGCCCUGUCGAGGGGGACGAAUCGGUUGCGACCUAAUACGUCGUGAUCCUGACGGUACCCCUAAAGGAAGCACCGGCUAACUCCGUGCCAGCAGCCGCGGUAAUACGGAGGGUGCUAGCGUUGUUCGGAAUCACUGGGCGUAAAGCGCGUGUAGGCGGCCCACUAAGUCUGAUGUGAAAGCCCGGGGCUCACCCCCGGAAGCGCAUUGGAAACUGAUGGGCUCGAGUCUCGGAGAGGAGGGUGGAAUUCCUGGUGUAGCGGUGAAAUGCGUAGAUAUCAGGAGGAACACCGGUGGCGAAGGCGGCCCUCUGGAC
rnacentral:rRNA from 1 species